GAUGAACGCUGGCGGCAUGCUUUACACAUGCAAGUCGGACGGGAAGUGGUGUUUCCAGUGGCGGGCGGGUGAGUAACGCGUAAGAACCUGCCCUUGGGAGGGGAACAACAGCUGGAAACGGCUGCUAAUACCCCGUAGGCUGAGGAGCGAAAGGAGGAAUCCGCCCAAGGAGGGGCUCGCGUCUGAUUAGCUAGUUGGUGAGGUAAUAGCUUACCAAGGCCGUGAUCAGUAGCUGGUCCGAGAGGAUGAUCAGCCACACUGGGACUGAGACAAGGCCCAGACUCCUACGGGAGGCAGCAUUGGGGAAUUUUCCGCAAUGGGCGAAAGCCUGACGGAGCAAUGCCGCGUGGAGGUAAAAGGCCUACGGGUCAUGAACUUCUUUUCCUGGAGAAGAAACAAUGACGGUAUCUGGGGAAUAAGCAUCGGCUAACUCUGUG
rnacentral:rRNA from 1 species